AGUGAACGCUGGCGGUAGGCCUAACACAUGCAAGUCGAACGGCAGCACAGUAAGAGCUUGCUCUUACGGGUGGCGAGUGGCGGACGGGUGAGGAAUACAUCGGAAUCUACUAUUUCGUGGGGGAUAACGUAGGGAAACUUACGCUAAUACCGCAUACGACCUACGGGUGAAAGCAGGGGAUCUUCGGACCUUGCGCGAUUGAAUGAGCCGAUGUCGGAUUAGCUAGUUGGCGGGGUAAAGGCCCACCAAGGCGACGAUCCGUAGCUGGUCUGAGAGGAUGAUCAGCCACACUGGAACUGAGACACGGUCCAGACUCCUACGGGAGGCAGCAGUGGGGAAUAUUGGACAAUGGGCGCAAGCCUGAUCCAGCCAUACCGCGUGGGUGAAGAAGGCCUUCGGGUUGUAAAGCCCUUUUGUUGGGAAAGAAAGGCAGCAGGUUAAUACCCCGCUGUUCUGACGGUACCCAAAGAAUAAGCACCGGCUAACUUCGUG
rnacentral:rRNA from 1 species